GCGGUCAUGGUUUAGUGGCAGAACACGACCUUGCCAAGGUUGAGACGAGAGUUCGAUUCUCUCUGGCCGCACCA
rnacentral:tRNA from 1 species